CGAAUGACUCUCGGCAAUGGAUAUCUUGGCUCUUGCAUCGAUGAAGAACGUAGUGAAAUGCGAUACUUGGUGUGAAUUGCAGAAUCUCGUGAACCAUUGAGUCUUUGAACGCAAGUUGUGCCCGAGGCUUUGUGGCCGAGGGCACGCCUGCUUGGGCGUCAUGG
rnacentral:rRNA from 1 species